rnacentral:rRNA from 1 species
GACGAACGCUGGCGGCGGGCUUAACACAUGCAAGUCGAACGGAAAGGCCCUGCUGCUGUGGGGUGCUCGAUUAGCGAACGGGUGAGUAACAUUUGAGUAACCUGCCCUUGACUUUCGGAUAACUUUAGGGAACUGGGGCUAAUACCGGAUAGUAUCUCCUGCUGCAUGGUGGGGGUUGUGAAGUUUCGGCGGUUGGGGAUGGACUCGCGCCAUGUCGGCUUGUUGGUGGGGUAGUGGCUUACCAAAGCGUUGACGGGUAGCUGGGCUGGGAGGAGGACCUGCUCAAUCGGGCCUGGACUGAGGCCCAGCCCACUCCGGGACGCAGCAGAGGGGUAUAUUGCACUAUGGGCUGAAGCCAGACGCAGCAACGCCGUGUGCGGUAUGAGGGCAUGCGGGUUGUAUUCCGAUUUCGCCUGUGACGAAGCGUGAGUGACGGUAAUGGGUAAAGAAGCACCGGCUAACUACGUG